UACGUAGGGUGCAAGCGUUGUCCGGAAUUAUUGGGCGUAAAGAGCUCGUAGGCGGUUUGUCGCGUCUGCUGUGAAAACUCGGGGCUUAACCCCGGGCCUGCAGUGGGUACGGGCAGACUAGAGGUAUGCAGGGGAGAACGGAAUUCCUGGUGUAGCGGUGAAAUGCGCAGAUAUCAGGAGGAACACCGGUGGCGAAGGCGGUUCUCUGGACAGUUCCUGACGCUGAGGCACGAAGGUCAGGGGAGCAAACGGG
rnacentral:rRNA from 1 species